rnacentral:rRNA from 1 species
AUUACCGCUCGAACGCUGUGGUGGUUUUGGCCAUCACGGAGUGGCCCACGGGUGAGUAGCGCGUGGGAACCUGCCCUGGAGUGGGGGAUAACCGAGGGAGACUUCGGCUAAUACCGCAUGCGCCCUGGCGAAGGCCGGGGGAAAGAUUUAGUCGCUCUUGGAGGGGCCCGCGUCGGAUUAGGUUGUUGGUGGGGUAAUGGCCUACCAAGCCUGCGAUCCGUAGCUGGUCUGAGAGGAUGAUCAGCCACACUGGGACUGAGACACGGCCCAGACUCCUACGGGAGGCAGCAGUGGGGAAUAUUGGACAAUGGGCGCAAGCCUGAUCCAGCAAUGCCGCGUGAGUGAUGAAGGCCUUAGGGUUGUAAAGCUCUUUCGGCGGGGACGAUGAUGACGGUAUCCGCAGAAGAAGCCCCGGCUAACUUCGUGCCAGCAUCCGCGGUUAUAAUCGAAU